rnacentral:rRNA from 2 species
ACGGGAGGCAGCAGUAGGGAAUCUUCCACAAUGGACGAAAGUCUGAUGGAGCAACGCCGCGUGAGUGAAGAAGGGUUUCGGCUCGUAAAACUCUGUUGUUAAAGAAGAACAUAUCUGAGAGUAACUGUUCAGGUAUUGACGGUAUUUAACCAGAAAGCCACGGCUAACUACGUGCCAGCAGCCGCGGUAAUACGUAGGUGGCAAGCGUUGUCCGGAUUUAUUGGGCGUAAAGCGAGCGCAGGCGGUUUUUUAAGUCUGAUGUGAAAGCCUUCGGCUCAACCGAAGAAGUGCAUCGGAAACUGGGAAACUUGAGUGCAGAAGAGGACAGUGGAACUCCAUGUGUAGCGGUGAAAUGCGUAGAUAUAUGGAAGAACACCAGUGGCGAAGGCGGCUGUCUGGUCUGUAACUGACGCUGAGGCUCGAAAGUAUGGGUAGCAAACAGGAUUAGAUACCCUGGUAGUCCAUACCGUAAACGAUGAAUGCUAAGUGUUGGAGGGUUUCCGCCCUUCAGUGCUGCAGCUAACGCAUUAAGCAUUCCGCCUGGGGAGUACGGCCGCAAGGCUGAAACUCAAAGGAAUUGACGGGGGCCCGCACAAGCGGUGGAGCAUGUGGUUUAAUUCGAAGCUACGCGAAGAACCUUACCAGGUCUUGACAUACUAUGCAAAUCUAAGAGAUUAGACGUUCCCUUCGGGGACAUGGAUACAGGUGGUGCAUGCUUGUCGUCAGCUCGUGUCGUGAGAUGUUGGAUUAAGUCCCGCAACGAGCGCAACCCUUAUUAUCAGUUGCCAGCAUUAAGUUGGGCACUCUGGUGAGACUGCCGGUGACAAACUGGAGGAAGGUGGGGAUGACGUCAAAUCAUCAUGCCCCUUAUGACCUGGCCUACACACGUGCUACAAUGCAUGGUACAACGAGUUGCGAACUCGCGAGAGUAAGCUAAUCUCUUAAAGCCAUUCUCAGUUCGGAUUGUAGGCUGCAACUCGCCUACAUGAAGUCGGAAUCGCUAGUAAUCGCGGAUCAGCAUGCCGCGGUGAAUACGUUCCCGGGCCUUGUACACACCGCCCGUCACACCAUGAGAGUUUGUAACACCCAAAGUCGGUGGGGUAACCUCUUAGGAACCAGCCGCC